AAUUAACUAUGAAAGAGCGCGGUGUUUCUCUCAAACUCUUCGCAAACAAGAUAAUGUAAAAGUUUGCUUAGACUUAAACACAUUGUAUGAAAACUUUCAAAAGGCUACAAUUAUCAAACAAGAUGAAGAUAUAUGUUUAUUAUGGAAGGAGCCUGGGCAGUCUUUUUCCCAAAUCUUUAAAAAGAAUUGCAACGUGGAAUAUAUAAAAAACUCUCAAGAUAAUAAUAGUAAAAACCAUGAGGACUUAGAAAAACUCGAGCCACCUUCCACAGAAUUAGAUAAAUAUAUAAUGUAUAACGUGAAGCCCUCAAUUUAUCAAGACGAAAGAAUACCAAAUGCGCUCAUGUGCCAGCCUUUAUACCACGUGGGGAAAAGCGUGGGGGGAUUAGUGAUUCUUGCUAAAACACAAACGGCCUUAAAAAAAUUAAGCAUCAGUCGUUCUUUCGGUGAUGCUAUUAUUAAAAAGUAUGCUGCUCUUUUACAUGGCCGUCUUGUUUUAAGUGAAAAAGAGAAAGAAUACACUUUAGAGAAAGGAAUUAAUGAUCUCGAACUCAAAAAAACUGUACAAACAACCACUGGCUUUAUUUCUUUUGUCCUUUUCCAUUGUAACUCGGACAUAACUGCGAAGGAGGCUUUUUACUUUAUCGCUCGUCCAGUAGCUGGGAACAGCAAAUAUUGUAGACCUUUUAAUUCUUCUCCCACCCGUGGUUCGUUUCUCGCACUAGUGGGAGUAGAAUUUAUUCAUCCUCGAA